rnacentral:rRNA from 1 species
GAAAGUAAGCAAGGGCAGACGGUGGAUGCCUUGGCUCUCGGAGGCGAUGAAGGACGUGAUAAGCUGCGAAAAGCCCGGGGGAGGCGCAAAUAGCCCUUGAUCCCGGGAUAUCCGAAUGGGGCAACCCGGCAGGCUGAAGGCCUGUCAUCCCGAAAGGGAGGCGAACGUGGGGAACUGAAACAUCUAAGUACCCAUAGGAGGAGAAAAUAAACAAUGAUUCCGUAAGUAGUGGCGAGCGAACACGGAAGAGCCCAAACCCAUGUCGUCUAGGCGACACGGGGGUUGUAGGACCACGACGUGGCAAGAUAGAGUCAAGUGGAACGCCUUGGAAAAGGCGGUCAUAGAGGGUGAAAACCCCGUACACGACUGACGAUUGAAGCCUAGUGGCAUCCUGAGUAGCGCGGGGCACGAGAAAUCUUGCGUGAAUUAGCGGGGCCCAUCCCGUAAGGCUAAAUACUCCCGAGAGACCGAUAGCGAACCAGUACCGUGAGGGAAAGGUGAAAAGAACCCCGAGCAGGGGAGUGAAAUAGACCCUGAACCCGUCUGCCUACAAGCGGUCGGAGCGUCGUAAUGACGUGACGGCGUGCCUUUUGCAUAAUGAACCUACGAGUUACCUUCCCCGGCAAGGUUAAGUACCUAAGGUACGGAGCCGAAGCGAAAGCGAGUCUGAACAGGGCGGCCAGUCGGGGGGGGUAGACGCGAAACCGAGUGAUCUACCCUUGGCCAGGUUGAAGGUUGGGUAACACCAACUGGAGGACCGGAUGGGUAAGCGUUGAAAAGCUUUCCAAUGAGCUGAGGGUAGGGGUGAAAGGCUAAUCAAACUCGGAGAUAGCUCGUACUCCCCGAAAUGCAUUUAGGUGCAGCCUCUUUAUAGUAUAUCGUGAGGUAGAGCGACUGAUUGGAUGCGAGGGCUUCACCGCCUAUCAAGUCCAGAUAAACUCCGAAUGCGCGAUAUAUAUUUAAAGGGAGUGAGGGCGCGGGUGCUAAGGUCCGUGUCCGAGAGGAGAAGAAUCCAGACCACCGGCUAAGGCCCCCAAAUGAUCGUUAAGUUGAACUAACGAGGUCGGAUCGCAGAGACAGCUAGGAUGUUGGCUUGGAAGCAGCCAUUCAUUUAAAGAGUGCGUAACAGCUCACUAGUCGAGCGAUCUGGCGUGGAUAAUAAUCGGGCAUAAACGAUCUGCCGAAGCCGUGGAUGUCGCAAGACAUGGUAGGGGAGCAUUCCAUGCCGCGUCGAAGAUGAGGGAUGACCCUUGUUGGAGCGCAUGGAAAAGCAAAUGUAGGUAUGAGUAACGAUAAGGGGGGCGAGAAACCCCCCCGCCGAAAGACCAAGGUUUCCUGAUCAACGCUAAUCGGAUCAGGGUGAGUCGGGACCUAAGGCAAAGCCGAACGGCGCCGCCGAUGGAAGAAUGGGUUAAUAUUCCCAUACUGCCUCAUGGAGUGACGUGGAGACGGAGAAGUGACAGUCCUGCCGGCUGACGGAAUAGCCGGUUGAAGGGUGUAGAUAUUGAUUCCCGUAGGCAAAUCCGCGGGGAGAGUCGAACCUGAGAGUAUACGGAGCGCUUGCGCAACGUAAUAUGGACGUAACCAUGCUCCCGAGAAAAUCCGCUAAACUUAUCCAUGCGGCACCCGUACCGUAAACGGACACACGUGGUCGGGUUGAGAAUACUGAGGCGCUCGAGUGAUUCACGGUUAAGGAACUAGGCAAAUUGACCCUGUAACUUCGGGAUAAAGGGUCCUCGUCGUAAGGCGAGGCGCAGAGAAUAGGUCCAGGCAACUGUUUAACAAAAACACAUGGCUGUGCUAAAUGGAAACAUGAUGUAUACAGCCUGACACCUGCCCGGUGCCGGAAGGUUAAGAGGAGAUGUCAUCCGCGAGGAGAAGCGUUGAAUUGAAGCCCCGGUAAACGGCGGCCGUAACUAUAACGGUCCUAAGGUAGCGAAAUUCCUUGUCGGGUAAGUUCCGACCUGCACGAAUGG